GGCCCGGCCCUGGGUAGCCCUGCCAGGCCCUGUGCGGGUUGAGGGCGUGGCCUGGCCCUGGGUAGCCCAUUUGCUCCUCCCCGCCCUUUAGCUUGCUCCUCACAGAGGAGCCCAACUCGGAGGAGGGAGAGUUCUGUGGGUUUCUGAGGCACAGGCGUGUGUGCCAGGGUCUUUUUCAGGGCUAGAUGAAAAGAGUUGUGUUCAUCAAUGGACAAAACCUAGGCUGCUACUGGUCAUUAGGUCCCCAGAAAACCCUAUACCCAGACAGCACUAUGGCUUCAUUCUGGAACAAAUGAGGUGAACUCUGCCCAUGUCACCUGUGCCCCAGUCCACCCAGAGGCAGAACUUGAACCUCACAGCUGCCUCACCUUGACAGAUCAUCGUGUUUGAGGAAGUGGAAGCUGGUCUCUAGCUGAUCCAGUUCACAGAACAGCCUCAUUUGGGUAUGGCAUUCUGAAGGGUCUUUUGUGGCAUCUGGAUGACCUUCUGGAUGUUUCUAGCUGAGACAAGAACAAAGGAGGCAGGAUGUGUGCUCUCGCAGGGCCCUGAA